GAAAUCUGCGUUAAAAUGAAUGAAAGAAAGAAGAGUAAACGAAUUAAGGCGGAGUUCAACCAAGUAUUGGAACGAGGUUCCGGGUAUAUUGGCACGAGUGAGGUGCUUAAAGACUUUAAUUGACGGUGGGAUGCAAACGAAGGACGCUUGAUUGAUUUAUGUAGCUGGAAAUUUUUAAUUAAUUACCAAAGUUUGUUUUCACUGGAGCCCGUGUCAGCUGACCAGCAAAAUGACCGAUGGACUUCCCCCGAACCCUUUGGUGCAUAAUGUAUACUUUAUAUAAUUUAUAAAAAACAUUUUACCCAUUUUAUCGGAAACUCUUUUUUCGUUCAAUUUGUUAAAGUGCUUUGUACGAGAGUGGUUAUGUGCUGUAAAUUAUAUUAUACAUAUUAAUAAGUCAAUGAGUUGACAGGAA